UUUAAUUUUAUUUUGAAAAACUAGUCUUAAUUAUAUCUUUGAAAUUAAAAGGAUGGUAAAUCACUCUUCCGUCUAUACAUUUUACAAAAUUUUCAGUGCAAUAAUGUUACAAAUUCCGUUAAAAAUAAUGUUACGAAUAUUCAAUUUAAUAACUAUGAAGAAUGAUUUUUUUUUUUUUGUCUAAGAAGAAGAAUGAAUAUAUAUAUAUGUAUGUAUAAUCUAACGGAAAAAAAAGAAUGAAUAAAUAAUUAAUUCCAAUUUGCCUUAUUUAACAAGUAAGGGGAAAUUACAUGUUUACCACUACUUUCAUGGUACUACUUUUAAUUUUUACCAUUAAUAAAGAGACAUUUUCAAAAAUAUUCAUUAAGUAGCAAAAGACUCUUAUGCUCUGGUUCUUUAUAUAUAUAAUAAAUAAAUAAAUAAAAAUCUAAAAAAAUAAAAAAUUAAUUUUUUAAAUUUUUUUUCGAAUUAUACUAUUUCAAAAUUCAAACCCUAAACCCUAAAACUCAACGCUAAACCCUAAACCAUCAAUCUUAAACCAUAUUAUAUUUUAAAAUACAAACCCUAAACCCCGAAACAUAACCUCUAAGCCCUAAAUCUCGAAACAUCAACUCUAAACCCUAAACCCUAACCCUUCAACUCUAAACCCUAAAGCAUCAACGCUAAACCCUAAACCCUAAACUUCAACUCUAAACCUGAAACCAUCAACACUAAACCCUAAACUAUCAACACUAAACCCUAAACCCUAAAAAGUAAACUCUAAACUCUAAACCCUAAAAAAUUAACCCUAAACCCAAAAACAUCAACUCUAAACCCUAAACCCUAAAAAAUUAACCCUAAACCCUAAAACAUCAACUCUAAAUCCUAAACCCUAAACCUUCAACUCUAAACCCUAAAGCCUAAAGCCUAAACCCUAAAGCCUAAAACCCUAGAGUUGAUGUUUUAGGGUUUAGAUUUGAAGGUUUAGGGUUUUAGGGUUUAGGGUUCGAAUUUCAGAAAAAUAUAUGGUUUAGGGUUUAGAUUUGAAAGUUUAGAGUUUAGGGUUUAGAGUUGAUGUUUCGGGGUUUAGGGUUUAGAGUUGAUGUUUUAUGGUUUAGGGUUUAGAGCUGAUGAUUUAGGGUUUAAACUUGAUGUUUUAAGUUUAGAUUUAGGGUUUAGGGUUUACGUUUAGGGUUUAGAGUUGAUGUUUUAGGGUUUAAAUUUGAAGGUUUAGGGUUGAUGCUUCGGGGUUUAGAGUUUAGAGUUGAUGUUUCAUAGUUUAGGGUUUAAAGUUGAUGAUUUAGGGUUUAGAGUUGAUGUUUUAAGUUUAGAUUGGUUAACCAUAUGUUUUUUUUGUCAAAGUUAACCAAAAGGUUAUAAACGUCUUUUACCCUUCAUUAAAGAUGAAGGUAAAAGUGAUUAGUGUAAAUAUGAAAAAUAGUACUUUGAAAAUGGUAUUUUUGGCAAUUUCCCAACAAGUAAUGGGUGUUAGCACCUUACAUUUACAAAGACUAAAACGAAUUAAAUUACAAUCUCAUCCGCUGCGGUCUCGUUACUUUAUAGCUCCAAAUCAUAACAGGUAAAUUGCCACAAAUACCAUAUUCAUAGUACCACUUUUCAUUUUCAUAUUUACACUAACCACUUUUACCCUCACUUUUAAUGAAUGGUAAUAGACACUUAUACCCUUAAGGUUAACUAAUAGAAAAUUGCCAAAAAUAUCAUUUUCGAAGUACCACUUUUCAUGUUUACACUAACCACUUUUACCUUCAUCUUUAAUGAACGGUAAAAGACAUUUAUAACCUUUUCAUUAAAUUUGACAAAAAAAACAUAAGGUUAACAAAUCUAAACUUAAAACAUCAACUUUAAACUCUAAAUCAUCGACUCUAAACCCUAAACCAUGAAAGAUUAACUCUAAACCCUAAACCCUAAACCCCGAAACAUCAACUCUAAACCCUAAACCCUAAAACAUCAACUCUAAAUCCUAAACGUAAACCUUAAACACUAAAUCUAAACUUAAAACAUCAACUUUAAACCCUAAAUCAUCAACUCUAAACCCUAAACCAUGAAACAUCAAUUCUAAACCUUAAACCCCGAAACAUCAACUCUAAACCCUAAACCCUAAAC
rnacentral:lncRNA from 1 species